AGGUGGUGGAAAUCGGCAGAGAUGGAGGAGGACUGGUUUCUGAGGUUGUGGAAUGGGUUUUGACGAAUUUGGAGAGUGUGUGGCUGAAUGGAGAUGUUUGUGGCUGCACAAACAUGUUUAUUUAAAGGGAUUAGGAAAUUAAAAACCCUAGACUAAUUAGGUAAUCAGGAAUUAAGUUUAAAGCUUCUAGAUUAAGGAAAACAAAUCAGAAAAUUUAAAGGAAAUAGCAAGGGAAAUUCGGCUAGGGUUAAAAACACAAAAGGAAAGUGUUUUAAAGCCUAGAAUCAGGAAAUAAGAAAGAGGAAAUACCAAGGGGGGUGCGGCAAGGGUUCAAAAGGUGCAAGAAAUGUGUAUUUGAUGUCCUAGAAUGCUUAGGAAGUCUUCAUAAUUGCCUGGAACUUUUAGGGACAAUUAGGAAAAAUCAAAACCAAAGUAGGAAACCUUGGCUUAACUUUCCUACUUCAAGUAGGAAUCCUUGUUGGAGGAGGAAUCCUUGUUCUUCUAGGAAUCCUCAUGUGAUUAGGAAUCCAUCUUCAAUUAGGAAUCCUUCGUUGAUUAGGAAUCCUUCGUCGAUUAGGAAUCCUCCUUCAUGUAAGCACUUUCCUACUUCAACUAGGAAACCUUGUUCAAGUAGGAAUCAUUAUCUUCAAGUCUUCAAAUUCGUCCAAACCUUGGCUCCAAUUAUGUGAUAAUCAUUCCAAGCCCAAUUUUGCUCCAAAAAGCUCCAAAAUGCAUCUUCUUGCAUCCUUUGGCCUUAAAACCUGAAAACACAUAAAACUAGCUUAAAAGACUACUUUAACUAAGAAAACACCAAGGAAAUGCAUAAGAACUAGCUAACUAAGGCGCAUAAAUAUGCUCGUAUCAUUUGGUUUUGGACGAAAAUAAGUAAAUUAAAACAAGAACAAUUUAAACAGAUUCUUAAGCAAAUUUAGGUGAAUUGAUGAGAUAUGGGGUAACUAGAGGGUUCUUCCCCACACAUGACACACUUGUAUUCAAAUUGAUUUCCAAUUGCUUCUCUCAAUAAGUCAUGAAACUCAAUACUCCAGGUUAACUGUGACAACACUUUUUUAACCUUCAAGUUCUCCUUAAGUUA
rnacentral:lncRNA from 1 species